rnacentral:rRNA from 1 species
GAUGAACGCUGGCGGCGUGCCUAAUACAUGCAAGUCGAGCGUACGGACGAGAAGCUUGCUUCUCUGAUGUUAGCGGCGUACGGGUGAGUAACACGUGGAUAACCUACCUAUAAGACUGGGAUAACUUCGGGAACCCGGAGCUAAUACCGGAUAAUAUUUUGAACCGCAUGGUUCAAAAGUGAAAGACGGUCUUGCUGUCACUUAUAGAUGGAUCCGCGCUGCAUUAGCUAGUUGGUAAGGUAACGGCUGACCAAGGCAACGAUGCAUAGCCGACCUGAGAGAGUGAUCGGCCACACUGGAACAGAGACACGGACCAGACACCUACGGGAGGCAGCAGUAGGGAAACAUGCACAAUGGGCGAAAGACUGACGGAGCAACGCCGCGUGAGUGAUGAAGGUCUUCGAAUCGGAAAACUCUGUUAAGAAGGAAGAAAAGAUGUAUAACUAAAUGUGCACAUCUUGACGGUACCAAAUCAGAAAGCCAAGGCUAACUAAGUG